GAUGAACGCUGGCGGCGUGCCUAAUACAUGCAAGUCGAGCGAACGGACGAGAAGCUUGCUUCUCGGAUGUUAGCGGCGGACGGGUGUGUAACACGUGGAUAACCUACUUAUAAGACUGGGAUCACUUCGGGAAACCGGAGCUAAUCCCGGAUGAUCUUUUGAACCGCAUGGUUCAAAGGUGAAAGACGGUCUUGCUGUCACUUAUAGAUGCAUCCGCGCUGCAUUAGCUAGUUGGUAAGGUAACGGCUUACCAAGGCAACGAUGCAUAGCCGACCUGAGAGAGGGGUCGGCCACACUGGAACGGAGACGCGGUCCAGACUACUGCGGGAGGCAGCAGUAGGGAAUCUGCCGCAAUGGGCGAAAGCCUGACGGAGCAACGCCACGUGAGUUAUGAAGGUCUUCGGAGCGUAAAACUCGGUUAUGAGGGAAGAACAGAUGUGUAAGGAACUGUGCACAUCGUGACGGUACCUGAUCAGAAAGCCACGGCUAACUACGUG
rnacentral:rRNA from 1 species